GAUGAACGCUGGCGGCGUGCCUAAUACAUGCAAGUCGAACGAGUUCUCGUUGAUGAUCGGUGCUUGCACCGAGAUUCAACAUGGAACGAGUGGCGGACGGGUGAGUAACACGUGGGUAACCUGCCCUUAAGUGGGGGAUAACAUUUGGAAACAGAUGCUAAUACCGCAUAGAUCCAAGAACCGCAUGGUUCUUGGCUGAAAGAUGGCGUAAGCUAUCGCUUUUGGAUGGACCCGCGGCGUAUUAGCUAGUUGGUGAGGUAAUGGCUCACCAAGGCGAUGAUACGUAGCCGAACUGAGAGGUUGAUCGGCCACAUUGGGACUGGGACACGGCCCAAACUCCUACGGGAGGCAGCAGUAGGGAAUCUUCCACAAUGGACGCAAGUCUGAUGGAGCAACGUCGCGUGAGUGAAGAAGGCUUUCGGGUCGUAAAACUCUGUUGUUGGAGAAGAAGGUCGGCAGAGUAACUGUU
rnacentral:rRNA from 2 species